rnacentral:rRNA from 1 species
UGAAUACGAGAUGCUACGGCAUUGAAGCAGUGUAUGUCAGACUUCCAAGAAAAGCUCGCAAUGUCAUAAAUAAAUAAUGCCUGUACCAUAACCGACACAGGUGGGUAGGUAGAGUAUACUAAGGGGCGCGAGAUAACUCUCUCUAAGGAACUCGGCAAAAUGACUCCGUAACUUCGGGAGAAGGAGUGCCUUAUUUAUAAGGUUGCAAUAACAAGAUCCAAGCAACUGUUUACCAAAAACACAGGACUCCGCUAAGUCGUAAGACGAUGUAUGGGGGCUGACGCCUGCCCAGUGCCAGAAGGUUAAAGAAGUUGGUUAGCAUUUGCGAAGCUGAUAACUGAAGCCCUGGUGAACGGCGGCCGUAACUAUAACGGUCCUAAGGUAGCGAAAUUCCUUGUCGGGUAAGUUCCGACCCGCACGAAAGGCGUAAUGAUUUGGAUACUGUCUCGGAGAGAGUCUCGGUGAAAUAGACUUGUCUGUGAAGAUGCGGACUACCUGCACCUGGACAGAAAGACCCUAUGAGGCUUUACUGUAACUUGAAAUUGGAAUUGGACUUUAUUCGCGCAGUAUAGGUGGGAAGCGUUGAAAAUACUCUUGCGGGAGUAUUGGAGCUAUCAGUGAGAUACCACUCUGGUAAUGUUAGAUUUCUAACUUUGUAUCAUAAUCUGGUCAAAGGACAGUUUCAGGCGGGCAGUUUGACUGGGGCGGUCGCCUCCUAAAUGGUAACGGAGGCGUACAAAGGUUUCCUCUGAACGUGUAGAAAUCGUAUCUAGAGUGUAAAGGCAUAAGGAAGCUUGACUGUGAGACCUACAAGUCGAGCAGGGACGAAAGUCGGUCUUAGUGAUCUGACGGUGCUGAGUGGAAAGGCCGUCACUCAACGGAUAAAAGUUACUCUAAGGAUAACAGGCUGAUCUCCCCCAAGAGUUCACAUCGACGGGGAGGUUUGGCACCUCGAUGUCGGCUCAUCGCAUCCUGGGGCGGUAGUACGUCCCAAGGGUUGGGCUGUUCGCCCAUGAAAGCGGUACGCGAGCUGGGUUUAGAACGUCGUGAGACAGCUCGGUCCAUAUCCGGUGUAGGCGUUAGAAUAUUGAAAGGAGCCUUCUCUAGUACGAGAGGACCGAGAAGGACAGACCUCUGGUGUACCAGUUAUCGUGCCAACGGUAAGCGCUGGGUAGCUACGUCUGGAGAGGAUAACCGCUGAAAGCAUCUAAGUGGGAAGC